rnacentral:rRNA from 1 species
ACGAUUGAAGCCAGUCGUACCUUCGGGUAAUCAGCCUUUCGGGUGCGAUUCUGUGGAGUUUGAGGAGCUUAACACCUUCAUGCUUUGCAUAUUCGUGCUCUUGGGUGUACUUGCCCGUGUGGUUGGUUAACAUCAAUUUCGGGCACCAUAAAAUGGCUGGAGGAAUGUAGCUUCGAUCUUGUAUUGAAGUGUUAUAGCCUUCGGUAGAUGUGGUGAUCGAGAUUGAGGAUUGCAACGGAUACCUUUCGGGGCUACCUGUCUGAUCUCUGAUCGUUGCUUUGGUGCUGAAAGCGUGCUUAUAGUUAUCAAAGUCGAUGGUCAAUAGGUUAGAAUGGGUUAAAUUCGUUAAGGAUGUUGACGUA